rnacentral:rRNA from 1 species
GAUGAACGCUAGCUACAGGCUUAACACAUGCAAGUCGAGGGGCAGCAUGGUCUUAGCUUGCUAAGGCCGAUGGCGACCGGCGCACGGGUGAGUAACACGUAUCCAACCUGCCGUCUACUCUUGGACAGCCUUCUGAAAGGAAGAUUAAUACAAGAUGGCAUCAUGAGUCCGCAUGUUCACAUGAUUAAAGGUAUUCCGGUAGACGAUGGGGAUGGGUUCCAUUAGAUAGUAGGCGGGGUAACGGCCCACCUAGUCUUCGAUGGAUAGGGGUUCUGAGAGGAAGGUCCCCCACAUUGGAACUGAGACACGGUCCAAACUCCUACGGGAGGCAGCAGUGAGGAAUAUUGGUCAAUGGGCGAGAGCCUGAACCAGCCAAGUAGCGUGAAGGAUGACUGCCCUAUGGGUUGUAAACUUCUUUUAUAAAGGAAUAAAGUCGGGUAUGGAUACCCGUUUGCAUGUACUUUAUGAAUAAGGAUCGGCUAACUCCGUG